rnacentral:rRNA from 1 species
GACGUAGGGCGCGAGCGUUGUCCGGAUUUAUUGGGCGUAAAGAGCUCGUAGGCGGCUUGUUGCGUCAGCUGUGAAAACCCCGGGGCUCAACUCCGGGCCUGCAGCCGAUACGGGCAGACUAGAGUUCGGCAGGGGAGACUGGAAUUCCUGGUGUAGCGGUGAAAUGCGCAGAUAUCAGGAGGAACACCGGUGGCGAAGGCGGGUCUCUGGGCCGAUACUGACGCUGGAGGAGCGAAA